CACACAGUAAACGAUAAUCACUAGGUGUCGGGUUCUUAACAAUGGAUUCGGUGCCGUAGCUAACGCGUUAAGUGAUUCGCCUGGGGAGUACGAUCGCAAGGUUGAAACUCAAAGGAAUUGACGGGGGCCCGCACAAGCGGUGGAGCAUGUGGUUUAAUUCGAGGCAACGCGAAGAACCGUACCCGGGGUUGACAUCCGUAGAAUCCUUCAGAGAUGAGGGAGUGCCGGUUUACCGGAGCUACGAGACAGGUGC
rnacentral:rRNA from 1 species